rnacentral:rRNA from 1 species
UACGGAGGGUGCAAGCGUUAUCCGGAUUCACUGGGUUUAAAGGGUGUGUAGGCGGGUAUUUAAGUCAGGGGUGAAAUCUCCAGGCUCAACCUGGAAACUGCCAUUGAUACUAUUUAUCUUGAAUUCUGUUGAGGUGGGCGGAAUACAUCAUGUAGCGGUGAAAUGCUUAGAUAUGAUGUAGAACACCGAUUGCGAAGGCAGCUCACUAAGCAGCGAUUGACGCUGAGGCACGAAAGCGUGGGGAUCAAACAGG